rnacentral:lncRNA from 1 species
AGAAAGAAGAAUAAAAAUGCAAAGCACCUGAUAAAGAGAUAAAAGAAAAAAUAGAAGCAAUAGAGGUGAAAAAGAUAUGUGGGAUAGGAGUAAGAAUGCAAUAUGAAGAUUGCAUCAUUUUAGAGGAAGCUUCAAUUUCAAUAAUUCGUUUAGACGUAGAUGUCCAACUACAAGAUCUUCAACAAAAGAAUAGUCCUUCACUUAGCAACAAGGCUGAUAAAAAAGAAGAAAUAGACGAAGUAUUGGAUGAGAUUUAUG